GAAAAUCUAAGACAGAACAGUGAAGUAGGAUGUUACAGCAAGCCAAACACAAGAACAGUGGUUCUAAAACUCCAUCCUGCAGCAGGAUCAUCUGGAAUGCUUAAAGAAAGAAGGUUUCAGAACCAUUGCAUUAGACAGAAUUUGGCUCUUGUUGUCCAGGCUGGAGUGCAAUAGCAUGAUCUCAGCACACUGCAAACCCCGCCUCCCAGGUUCAAGCGAUUCUCCUGCCUCAGCCUCCCGAGUAGCUGGGAUUACAGGUGUGUGCCACCACACCCAGCUAAUUAUUUUUUGUAUUUUUAGUAGAGAUGGGGUUUCACCAUGCUGGUCAGGCUGGUCUCAAACUGACCUCAGGUGAUCCACCUGCCUUUGCCUCCCAAAAUGCUGGGAUUACAGCCAUGAACCACCACAACCGGCCACUCACUGAACUUCGACUCUGUUCCAGGAACUACAAUAUACUUAAUGGAGUUUACCAAGAUUAGUUUUGCUGUAUUCAUCACUUUCAAAUACUUUAUUCUAUAGACUGAGCGAGACUGAAUCCUUGCUGUGGAAUUACCAAGUUCUGUUAAUGGACAAUUAUUUAACCCUGAAGAAAACAAAAAAAUUGAAAAUAAAAUGUCUGACA
rnacentral:lncRNA from 10 species